GAUGAACGCUGGCGGCGUGCUUAACACAUGCAAGUCGAACGAAGCAUUUAAGACAGAUUACUUCGGUUUGAGGUCUUUUAUGACUGAGUGGCGGACGGGUGAGUAACGCGUGGGUAACCUGCCUCAUACAGGGGGAGAGCAGCUGGAAACGGUUGGGAAUACCGCAUAAGCGCACAGUACUACAUGGUACAGUGUGAAAAAGUCCGGUGGUAUGAGAUGGAGCCGCGUCUGAUUAGCUUGUUGGCGGGGUAACGGACCACCAAGGCGACGAUCAGUAGCCGAACUGAGGGGGUGACCGGCCACAUUGGGACUGAGACACGGCCCAAGCUCCUACGGGAGGCAGAAGGGGGGAAUAUUGCACAAUGGAGGAAGCUCUGAUGCUGCGGGGCCGCGGGAGUGAAGAAGUAGUUCGCUAUGUAAAGCUCUAUCAGCAGGGAAGAUAGUGACGGUAGCUGACGAAGAAGCACCGGCUAAAUACGUG
rnacentral:rRNA from 1 species